rnacentral:rRNA from 1 species
GAUGAACGCUAGCGACAGGCUUAACACAUGCAAGUCGAGGGGCAGCAUAAAAGUAGCAAUACUUUGGUGGCGACCGGCGCACGGGUGAGUAACGCGUAUGCAACCUACCUAUCAGAGGGGGAUAACCCGGCGAAAGUCGGACUAAUACCGCAUAAAACAGGGGCACCGCAUGGUGAUAUUUGUUAAAAAUUAUUGCUGAUAGAUGGGCAUGCGUUCCAUUAGGUAGUUGGAGAGGUAACGGCUCACCAAGCCCACGAUGGAUAGGGGAACUGAGAGGUUGGUCCCCCANACUGGUACUGAGACACGGACCAGACUCCUACGGGAGGCAGCAGUGAGGAAUAUUGGUCAAUGGGCGAGAGCCUGAACCAGCCAAGUCGCGUGAAGGAAGAAGGAUCUAUGGUUCGUAAAACUUCUUUUGCAGGGGAAUAAAGUGCAGGACGUGUCCUGUUUU